AUCAAUUUAUUAACCAGGUUUUCCGAAGGAAAAAACUGGUUAUUAGAUUGGCGAAUGCGGGCGGGCUGGCUGGCUGGCGGGCUGGCGGAAUAAGCUUGUCCGGGCCAUAACUAUGUCGUUCAUUGUCAGAUUUUAAAAUCAUUUGGCACAUUUGUUCACCAUCAUUGGACGGUGUGUCGCGCGAAAUAAUUACGUCGAUAUCUCCAAGGUCAAGGUCACACUUUGAGUUCAAAGGUCAAAAAUGGCCAUAAAUGAGCUUGUCCGAGCCAUAACUAUGUCGUUCAUCGUCAGAUUUUAAAAUCAUUUGGCACAUUUGUUCACCAUCAUUGGACGGUGUGUCGCGCGAAAUAAUUACGUCGAUAUCUCCAAGGUCAAGGUCACACUUUGAGUUCAAAGGUCAAAAAUGGCCAUAAAUGAGCUUGUCCGGGCCAUAACUAUGUCGUUCAUCGUCAGAUUUUAAAAUCAUUCGGCACAUUUGUUCACCAUCAUUGGACGGUGUGUCGCGCGAAAUAAUUACGUCGAUAUCUCCAAGGUCAAGGUCACA